GGUCCUCCGAUGAGUUUCAGUCAGUUCGUAUGAGCAGUUCUGCAUGAGGCCCACUGUGAUCUAAGGCAGGUGUUUCAUAGAAUCAUUAAGGCCCAGCUGGUGCAGUUCCAUGUUUUACAAAAGUGCCGAUACAUAUGUAAAACUUGUGUCA